AUUGAACGCUGGCGGCAGGCCUAACACAUGCAAGUCGAACGAGUGGCGGACGGGUGAGUAAUGUCUGGGAAACUGCCUGAUGGAGGGGGAUAACUACUGGAAACGGUAGCUAAUACCGCAUACCAUCGGAUGUGCCCAGAUGGGAUUAGCUAGUAGGUGGGGUAAAGGCUCACCUAGGCGACGAUCCCUAGCUGGUCUGAGAGGAUGACCAGACAGACUGGGACUGAGACACGGUCCAGACGCCUACGGGAGGCAGCAGUGGGGAAUAGUGCACAAUGGGGGCAAGCCUGAUGCAGCGAUGCCGCGUGGAUGAAGAAGGCAUUCGGGGGGUAAAGUACUUUCGGCGGGGAGGCGUUACCCGCAGAAGAAGCACCGGCUAACUCCGUGCCAGCAGCCGCGGUAAUAC
rnacentral:rRNA from 1 species